rnacentral:rRNA from 1 species
AUACGAAGGGGGCUAGCGUUGUUCGGAAUCACUGGGCGUAAAGGACGCGUAGGCGGGUUUGUAAGUCAGGUGUGAAAUCCUACAGCCCAACUGUAGAACUGCACUUGAAACUACAGACCUAGAGUAUGGAAGGGGCAGAUGGAAUUAGUGGUGUAGGGGUAAAAUCCGUAGAUAUCACUAGGAAUACCGAAAGCGAAGGCGAUCUGCUGGGACAUUACUGACGCUGAGGCGUGAAAGCGUGGGGAGCAAACAGGAUUAGAUACCCCAGUAGUCC